AAGAAAGUGACAGAUGGGUUAUGUGCCUGGCUUGAAACCAGGUCAAGAGGGUUCAACUCCUUCCUUUCUCG
rnacentral:tRNA from 1 species